rnacentral:rRNA from 1 species
GUGGGGAAUCUUGCGCAAUGUGCGAAAGCCUGACGCAGCCAUGCCGCGUGAAUGAUGAAGGUCUUAGGAUUGUAAAAUUCUUUCACCGGGGACGAUAAUGACGGUACCCGGAGAAGAAGCUCCGGCUAACUUCGUGCCAGCAGCCGCGGUAAUACGAAGGGGGCUAGCGUUGCUCGGAAUUACUGGGCGUAAAGGGCGCGUAGGCGGACAGCUUAGUCAGAGGUGAAAGCCCAGGGCUCAACCUUGGAAUUGCCUUUGAUACUGGCUGUCUUGAGUUUGGGAGAGGUGAGUGGAACUCCGAGUGUAGAGGUGAAAUUCGUAGAUAUUCGGAAGAACACCAGUGGCGAAGGCGACUCACUGGCCCAAUACUGACGCUGAGGCGCGAAAGCGUGGGGAGCAAACAGGAUUAGAAACCCUGGUAGUCC